rnacentral:lncRNA from 10 species
GAGAUGGAGUCUCGCUCUGUCACCCAGGCUGGAGUGCAGUGGCACGAUCUUGGCCCACUGCAACCUCCGCCUCCCGGGUUCAAGCGAUUCUCCUGCCUCAGCCUCCCGAAUAGCUGGGAUUACAUGUGUGUGCCACCAUGUCUGGCUAAUUUUUGUAUUUUUAGUAGAGACUGGGUUUCACCAUGUUGGCCAAGCUGGUCUCAAACUCCUGACCUCAGGUGAUCUGCCCGCCUUGGCCUCCCAAAGUACUGGGAUUACAGGUGUGAGCCACUGCACCUGGCUGGGAACCUGAAUAAUUUUGGAAAAUAAAGUUGUCUUUUGAGAGUUAAACUAUAAAACAAACAUAAUAGGCCCAAAGCAGGGAGUGGCAAAGACUUUGUUUCACCUGCUUCACAGUGUCAACAUAGCCCCAAAAGAUUGGCCAUCAGAACUGUGUGUGUGUGUGUGUGUGCAAGUGUGUGUGAAUGUAUGUAUGUGUGUUGUGUAUGGCAGUGUAUGCAUGUGAGUGUGAGUGUGAGCAUGUCUGUGGGCAUGUGGGCUUGUGUAAUGUGUAUGAUCAUGUGCAUGUGUGUGUGAGUGGGUGUGGAUGUGUGGACAGCCAGGGAGGCCAAGGAGAGGGAGAGCAUACUGCCUUUGCCUAGAAAGGUGUAGCAAAGCCAGGCAGUGUGUCCCUGGCUUUCCCCAGGGGAAGAGGGGGACACUGGGCCAGAAACUUGAGCUCCUGGCCUCUGCUGAAUCUCUGUGCAUUCAAGGGGAGAUAUGUGCAUGAAGUCAUUGCAGUGUGACGCCUCUG